rnacentral:rRNA from 1 species
UCGCUCAGGAUGAACGCUGGCGGUGUGCCUAAUACAUGCAAGUCGUACGCACUGGCCCAACUGAUUGAUGGUGCUUGCACCUGAUUGACGAUGGAUCACCAGUGAGUGGCGGACGGGUGAGUAACACGUAGGUAACCUGCCCCGGAGCGGGGGAUAACAUUUGGAAACAGAUGCUAAUACCGCAUAACAACAAAAGCCACAUGGCUUUUGUUUGAAAGAUGGCUUUGGCUAUCACUCUGGGAUGGACCUGCGGUGCAUUAGCUAGUUGGUAAGGUAACGGCUUACCAAGGCGAUGAUGCAUAGCCGAGUUGAGAGACUGAUCGGCCACAAUGGAACUGAGACACGGUCCAUACUCCUACGGGAGGCAGCAGUAGGGAAUCUUCCACAAUGGGCGCAAGCCUGAUGGAGCAACACCGCGUGAGUGAAGAAGGGUUUCGGCUCGUAAAGCUCUGUUGUUGGAGAAGAACGUGCGUGAGAGUAACUGUUCACGCAGUGACGGUAUCCAACCAGAAAGUCACGGCUAACUACGUGCCAGCAGCCGCGGUAAUACGUAGGUGGCAAGCGUUAUCCGGAUUUAUUGGGCGUAAAGCGAGCGCAGGCGGUUGCUUAGGUCUGAUGUGAAAGCCUUCGGCUUAACCGAAGAAGUGCAUCGGAAACCGGGCGACUUGAGUGCAGAAGAGGACAGUGGAACUCCAUGUGUAGCGGUGGAAUGCGUAGAUAUAUGGAAGAACACCAGUGGCGAAGGCGGCUGUCUGGUCUGCAACUGACGCUGAGGCUCGAAAGCAUGGGUAGCGAACAGGAUUAGAUACCCUGGUAGUCCAUGCCGUAAACGAUGAUCAUG